GACGAACGCUGGCGGCGUGCCUAAUACAUGUGAGUAGAACGCUGAAGAGAGGAGCUUGCUCUUCUUGGAUGAGUUGCGAACGGGUGAGUAACGCGUAGGUAACCUGCCUUGUAGCGGGGGAUAACUAUUGGAAACGAUAGCUAAUACCGCAUAACAAUGGAUGACACAUGUCAUUUAUUUGAAAGGGGCAAUUGCUCCACUACAAGAUGGACCUGCGUUGUAUUAGCUAGUAGGUGAGGUAAUGGCUCACCUAGGCGACGAUACAUAGCCUACCUGAGAGGGUGAUCGGCCACACUGGGACUGAGACACGGCCCAGACUCCUACGGGAGGCAGCAGUAGGGAAUCCUCGGCAAUGGGGGCAACCCUGACCGAGCAACGCCGCGUGAGUGAAGAAGGUUUUCGGAUCGUAAAGCUCUGUUGUAAGUCAAGAACGGGUGUGAGAGUGGAAAGUUCACACUGUGACGGUAGCUUACCAGAAAGGGACGGCUAACUACGUG
rnacentral:rRNA from 1 species